UACGUAGGGGCCGAGCGUUGUCCGGAGUUAUUGGGCGUAAAGCGCGCGCAGGCGGCCUCGCGCGCCCGACGUGAAAGCCCCCGGCUUAACCGGGGAGGGUCGUUGGGGACGGCGGGGCUUGAGGGCGGGAGAGGGUGGUGGAAUUCCCGGUGUAGUGGUGAAAUGCGUAGAGAUCGGGAGGAACACCCGUGGCGAAGGCGGCCACCUGGGCCGACCCUGACGCUGAGGCGCGAAGGCGUGGAGAGCGAACGGG
rnacentral:rRNA from 1 species